rnacentral:rRNA from 1 species
GAGUUUGAACCUGGCUCAGGAUGAACGCUGGCGGCGUGCUUAACACAUGCAAGUCGAACGGACCCAUAUUGAAACCUAGUGAUAUAUGGGUUAGUGGCGGACGGGUGAGUAACGCGUGGGCAACCUGCCUUACACAGGGGGAUAACACUUAGAAGUAGGUGCUAAAACCGCAUAAGCGCACAGCUUCGCAUGAAGCGGUGUGAAAAACUCCGGUAGUGUAAGAUGGACCCGCGUCUGAUUAGCUUGUUGGCGGGGUAACGGCCCACCAAGGCGACGAUCAGUAGCCGGCCUGAGAGGGCGGACGGCCACAUUGGGACUGAGACACGGCCCAGACUCCUACGGGAGGCAGCAGUGGGGAAUAUUGCACAAUGGGGGAAACCCUGAUGCAGCGACGCCGCGUGAGUGAAGAAGUAAUUCGUUACGUAAAGCUCUAUCAGCAGGGAAGAAAAUGACGGUACCUGAGUAAGAAGCCCCGGCUAACUACGUGCCAGCAGCCGCGGUAAUACGUAGGGGGCAAGCGUUAUCCGGAUUUACUGGGUGUAAAGGGAGCGUAGACGGUGCGCCAAGUCUGGAGUGAAAUGCCGCAGCUUAACUGCGGAACUGCUUUGGAAACUGGCGGACUAGAGUGCGGGAGGGGUAAGCGGAAUUCCUAGUGUAGCGGUGAAAUGCGUAGAUAUUAGGAGGAACACCGGUGGCGAAGGCGGCUUACUGGACCGUAACUGACGUUGAGGC